GAUGAACGCUGGCGGCGUGCCUAAUACAUGCAAGUCGAGCGAACAGAUAAGGAGCUUGCUCCUUUGACGUUAGCGGCGGACGGGUGAGUAACACGUGGGUAACCUACCUAUAAGACUGGAAUAACUCCGGGAAACCGGGGCUAAUGCCGGAUAACAUGUUGAACCGCAUGGUUCUACAGUGAAAGGCGGCUUUGCUGUCACUUAUAGAUGGACCCGCGCCGUAUUAGCUAGUUGGUGAGGUAACGGCUCACCAAGGCAACGAUACGUAGCCGACCUGAGAGGGUGAUCGGCCACACUGGAACUGAGACACGGUCCAGACUCCUACGGGAGGCAGCAGUAGGGAAUCUUCCGCAAUGGGCGAAAGCCUGACGGAGCAACGCAGCGUGAGUGAUGAAGGUCUUCGGAUCGUAAAACUCUGUUAUUAGGGAAGAACAAAUGCGUAAGUAACUGUGCGCGUCUUGACGGUACCUAAUCAGAAAGCCACGGCUAACUACGUG
rnacentral:rRNA from 1 species